CUCCUACGGGAGGCAGCAGUGGGGAAUUUUGGACAAUGGGGGAAACCCUGAUCCAGCCAUGCCGCGUGAGUGAAGAAGGCCUUCGGGUUGUAAAGCUCUUUCAGCCGGAAAGAAAUCGCACUGGUUAAUACCUUGUGUGGAUGACGGUACCGGAAGAAGAAGCACCGGCUAACUACGUGCCAGCAGCCGCGGUAAUACGUAGGGUGCGAGCGUUAAUCGGAAUUACUGGGCGUAAAGCGUGCGCAGGCGGUUUUGUAAGACAGAUGUGAAAUCCCCGGGCUUAACCUGGGAACUGCAUUUGUGACUGCAAGGCUAGAGUACGGCAGAGGGGGGUAGAAUUCCACGUGUAGCAGUGAAAUGCGUAGAUAUGUGGAGGAACACCGAUGGCGAAGGCAGCCCCCUGGGCCGAUACUGACGCUCAGGCACGAAAGCGUGGGGAGCAAACAGGAUUAGAUACCCUGGUAGUCCACGCCCUAAACGAUGUCGACUGGUUGUUGGGGGUUUGACACUCUCAGUAACGAAGCUAACGCGUGAAGUCGACCGCCUGGGGAGUACGGCCGCAAGGUUAAAACUCAAAGGAAUUGACGG
rnacentral:rRNA from 1 species